rnacentral:rRNA from 1 species
UACCAGCACCCCGAGUGGUCGGGACGAUUAUUGGGCCUAAAGGCAUCCGUAGCCGGUUCUACAAGUCUUCCGUUAAAUCCACCUGACUUAACGAGAUGGCGUGACGGAGGAUACUAUAGAGCUAGGAGGCGGGAGAGGCAAGCGGUACGUUAGUGGGUAGGGUAAAAUCCGGUUGAUCCAUUGAAGACCACCAGUGGCGAAGGCG